rnacentral:snRNA from 1 species
ACUGGUCUUCAGUCAAGGGUAAACGAGUAGCUGCACUACCAUGCUAGAACCUCCAAACAAGCUCUCAAGGUCCAUUGUAGGAAUGUAGAGUAGUCAAGCUUAUGUAAUACCCAAAGAACUGUGGACCUUACUGUGGGCCAGGUAACCCACUAGUU